UACGUAGGGCGCAAGCGUUAUCCGGAAUUAUUGGGCGUAAAGAGCUCGUAGGCGGUUUGUCGCGUCUGCCGUGAAAGUCCGGGUCUCAACUCCGGAUCUGCGGUGGGUACGGGCAGACUAGAGUGAUGUAGGGGAGACUGGAAUUCCUGGUGUAGCGGUGAAAUGCGCAGAUAUCAGGAGGAACACCGGUGGCGAAGGCGGGUCUCUGGGCAACAACUGACGCUGAGGAGCGAAAGCGUGGGGAGCGAACAGG
rnacentral:rRNA from 1 species